GCGAUGUAAGACUUGCCUUUGCUCCUCCUUCACCUUCUGCCAUGAUUAUGAGGCCUCCUCAGCCAUGUAGAACUGUAUGAUGUCACACCUAUAGUCCCAGCUACUUGGAAGGCUGAGGCAGGAGGAUCGCCUGAGCCCAGGAGUUCAAGUCCAGCCGGGGCAACAUGGUGAGAAGCCAUCUCUAAAUUUUUUUCAAAUAAAAAUAACAACAAAUUUAAUGUCUUCUAUCCUCAGACUAUAAAAAUCAUUCUUGAC
rnacentral:lncRNA from 1 species